AUACCAGUCACCAUACAGCUGGGAGAGAUAGGAGGACAGGACAAAGAUACCAGUCACCAUACAGCUGGGAGAGAUAGGAGGACAGGACAAAGAUACCAGUCACCAUACAGCUGGGAGAGAUGGGAGGACAGGACAGAGAUACCAUACAGCUGGGAGAGAUAGGAGGACAGGACAGAGAUAUCAUACAGCUGGGAGAGAUAGGAGGACAGGACAGAGAUACCAGUCACCAUACAGCUGGGAGAGGUAGAGGAGAGCAGGACAGAGAUACCAGUCACCAUACAGCUGGGAGAGGUAGAGGAGGACAGGACAGAGAUACUAGUCACCAUACAGCUGGGAGAUGUAGACGAGAGCAGGACAGAGAUACCAGUCACCAUACAGCUGGGAGAGGUAGAAGAGAACAGGACAGAGAUACCAGUCACCAUACAGCUGGGAGAGGUAGAGGAGGACAGGACAGAGAUACCAGUCACCAUACAGCUGGGAGAGGUAGAGGAGGACAGGACAGAGAUACCAGUCACCAUACAGCUGGGAGAGGUAGAGGAGGACAGGACAGGACAGGACAGAGAUACCAGUCACCAUACAGCUGGGAGAGGUAGAGGAGAGCAGGACAGAGAUACCAGUCACCAUACAGCUGGGAGAGGUAGAGGAGGACAGGACAGGACAGGACAGAGAUACCAGUCACCAUACAGCUGGGAGAGGUAGAGGAGGACAGGACAGGACAGGACAGAGAUACCAGUCACCAUACAGCUGGGAGAGGUAGAGGAGGACAGGACAGGACAGGACAGAGAUACCAGUCACCAUACAUGGUCCUGGAGGAAGGGAAGUAACCUGUAACCUUCAUGUUGAUAUAAGCUCCUGCCAUGCAGUCACAUGGCAACGACCAACUGAGACAGAAACUUGGUAACCUCUAGAGAUGUUUUAAUUUGAUUCAUUGAUUAACCUCAUUUUACAGUGACCUACUGUCUGAAACGUUAUUUCACUUGGAUAUUGCACACAGACAAUCUGUUUUAUGUUUGUAUUUGUUAAGUGUAUGGAAUUAGAGAGGCAUUUUAGAUGGCGAUACAGCUCACUGAAUUGAUUUUGAAGGCAACAUGAAUGAUUGUUUCCAAACCCCUGUUUAACAAGUGCUACUUCAACACAUCUGGUUUACUGUGGUGUUCCUGAGAGCCAGGAACCUGGAAAAUAAGGCUUCAGCUUCCUCUUUAUUCCCAUCUCAAUGCACUCGUCUUCAGGCACAAUACAUUCACCUAUUUGGGUCAAAUACUACUAUACUUACUAUUGUAUAGUGAAUACAGGUAGGAGCUGCAAUCUUUUAGACACUAUUCUAACAGAAAGGGUCAUUCAUCUGUAAUUAGAACUACUGCUAUUCAUUUGCAAAUUGGGCAAAACUCCUGAAAUGAUUCAAAGUUCAUGACAACGUGUCAAACUGAAUGUAAAGUACACUGGUAGACGAGUCGUGUGUUUUUCUCCUGUGCUGGGCCUCAAGGUAGCAGGCAAGCAGACCCACACAGAUUUGAUGUGGUCCCGUUCACAUGUUGGUCAUGGCCUUGGUUGACCACCUGCCAUGUUGACGUAACAUCUUAGAAAAUGCAUUUUAAGAUCAAUAGAAGAGCAUGAGAAUUGAAAAGAAAAACGUACUAAUGAAUUGGAAACUGCAUUGGGUCUCUGUAUUCCAGUGGACCCACACACGUCUUUGCUUUGUUAGACUGUUUCACUUUCUGUUACUGUAACUGACUGGUCUUCUGACUGGCCUGGCAGGCUGGUCUUCUGACUGGCCUGGCAUUCUGGUCUUCUGACUGGCCUGGCAGGCUGGUCUUCUGACUGGCCUGGCAGGCGGGUCUUCUGACUGCUCUGGCAGGCGGGUCUUCUGACUGCUCUGGCAGGCGGGUCUUCUGACUGCUCUGGCAGGCUGGUCUUCUGACUGGCCUGGCAGGAUGGUCUUCUGACUGGCCUGGCAGGCUGGUCUUCUGACUGGCCUGGCAGGCUGGUCUUCUGACUGGCCUGGCAGGCUGGUCUUCUGACUGGCCUGGCAGGCUGAUCUUCUGACUGGCCUGGCAGGCUGAUCUUCUGACUGGCCUGGCAGGCUGAUCUUCUGACUGGCCUGGCAGGCUGAUCUUCUGACUGGCCUGGCAGGCUGAUCUUCUGACUGGCCUGGCAGGCUGAUCUUCUGACUGGCCUGGCAGGCUGAUCUUCUGACUGGCCUGGCAGGCUGAUCUUCUGACUGGUCUGGCAGGCUGAUCUUCUGACUGGCCUGGCAGGCUGGUUGGUUUGUUUGUUUUUAAAGGGUAUAUGUUGAGUAUGUAUAUAUGUUUUAAAAAGUUAUAUUUUUGAACGAUCUGCUGUUUUAAAAAUUAUUCUGUGUUGAAUUGGGCCCGUGAGUCUUUCGUUGGGGACUAACAUCGCAGUGUGUGUCACACACACCCACACCUUACUGGACACUGCAGGGUGAAGGUUUUACAUUCAGGAUUAGUGGUUCAGUAGAGCACAUGCACCUUUCAGGAGAGAUUCCUGUCUGUAAGCUUUAAAGGACUGGGCUUAGUAAAGAAGGAAAGAAAUGGGGUUGUAGGGAGAUGUGGGGAUAUAUUUUAAGGGCAUUGGCAAUAAGCUACAUGUUGCAGCUAUCUGUAAAUCAACAUAUUUUUGUUUUAUAUUUCAACCCUGUACAGCCUUAGAUUGAAAGGCACCUCGGACUAAAAACGAACAGAGAAAGAUAUCUUGAGUAUUUUUUUUCUUUUGAAACAAAAUGUCUGUAAAUAGAGAUGUAAAUAUGGUGCUCUAUAUUUAGAGUCGGCAGAGUGAACCUCUUGGUGCAGAGCUGUAAGUAUAGCCUUAUUAGGAAUGGGUGUCUCCAAGAAAAGAACAUGACUUUAUUCAUGUCGGCCAGUCUGACCGUUGUCUUACCCAGAUGUAAACAGCUGAAUGACAUGUGCAUGUGUUAUAUGUUUAACAUUAUCCAUCCAAGGACAUCGAGAGAGGAAGAACCAUCCACUGAAUGUUACUGGACCAAACCAUGUACUGGCUAAAUGAAAAUAUGAAAUGGCAGAAUUAUUCAAUGUAUUAUUCUGUAGUUGAUACCUGUUGUGAACAGUUACAUAUAGCUAUGGUGAUAUCCUAAAUAAAAUGUUGUGGGAAAUGACGUCUUA